rnacentral:lncRNA from 1 species
CUGAGCCGCUCCGAGCGCAAAGCGGCGGAGCGGGUCCGGAGGUUGCGGGAGGAGCAGCAGAGGGAGCGCCUCCGCCAGGUGUCGCGCAUCCUGAGGAAGGCGGCGGCGGAGCGCAGCGCCGAGGAGGGCCGGCUGCUGGCCGAGAGCGCGGACCUGGUAACGGAGCUGCAGGGCCGGAGCCGGCGGCGCGAGGGCCUGAAGCGGCGGCAGGAGGAGGCGAGUUCCGCGUGCGGCGCGCGGGCGCCCCCGGUUUCGGGAGCAGCUGGGGCGACGGGCGGUCCCGGGUGGGGCGGCCCGGGGCGGUGACCACCCUGGCGUCUUGGCAGGUGUGCGACGACCCGGAGGAGCUGCGGGGGAAGGUCCGGGAGCUGGCCAGCGCCGUCCGGAACGCCAAAUACUUGGUCGUCUACACAGGCGCGGGAAUCAGCACGGUAGGGAGGGAGGCGGAGGCGUACCCCAGGACGGAGUAUGAGCUCCAGUAAUCGCGAAAAACUCGCCUUUAAAGCAGCUCUAAGGUUUUUUCUCUUAAAGAAACGAAAUGACCAAAACUUACCUAAGGUAAACGCUUUUUAAACGCUUGGCCUCUGUGUUACAGCCAGUUAAAAAAAACAAGGAGUAGAGAUACGAAUGGGGUGUAGUAGCCGACUGCUCGCAGGCACCCCCAGGUUAUGUGGACAGAGCUA